rnacentral:tRNA from 1 species
CGGGGCGUAGCGCAGCCCGGUAGCGCACUCGUCUGGGGGGCGAGGGGUCGCAAGUUCAAAUCUUGUCGCCCCGA